UAUGGUCAAGUGAAGAAGCGCAUACGGUGGAUGCCUUGGCAGUCAGAGGCGAUGAAAGACGUGGUAGCCUGCGAAAAGCUUCGGGGAGUCGGCAAACAGACUGUGAUCCGGAGGUAUCUGAAUGGGGGAACCCAGCCAUCAUAAGAUGGUUAUCUUGUACUGAAUACAUAGGUGCAAGAGGCGAACCAGGGGAACUGAAACAUCUAAGUACCCUGAGGAAAAGAAAUCAACCGAGAUUCCCUUAGUAGUGGCGAGCGAACGGGGACCAGCCCUUAAGUUGUAUUGAGAUUAGCGGAACACUCUGGAAAGGGUGGCCAUAGUGGGUGAUAGCCCUGUACGCGAAAAUCCCUUUGCAAUGAAAUCGAGUAGGACGGGGCACGAGAAACCUUGUCUGAAUAUGGGGGGACCAUCCUCCAAGGCUAAAUACUACUGACUGACCGAUAGUGAACCAGUACCGUGAGGGAAAGGCGAAAAGAACCGCGGAGAGCGGAGUGAAAUAGAUCCUGAAACCGUAUGCGUACAAGCAGUGGGAGCCCACUUUGUUGGGUGACUGCGUACCUUUUGUAUAAUGGGUCAGCGACUUAUUUUCAGUGGCGAGCUUAACCGAAUAGGGGAGGCGUAGCGAAAGCGAGUCUUAAUAGGGCGUCUAGUCGCUGGGAAUAGACCCGAAACCGGGCGAUCUAUCCAUGGGCAGGUUGAAGGUUGGGUAACACUAACUGGAGGACCGAACCGACUACCGUUGAAAAGUUAGCGGAUGACCUGUGGAUCGGAGUGAAAGGCUAAUCAAGCUCGGAGAUAGCUGGUUCUCCUCGAAAGCUAUUUAGGUAGCGCCUCAUGUAUCACUGUAGGGGGUAGAGCACUGUUUCGGCUAGGGGGUCAUCCCGACUUACCAAACCGAUGCAAACUCCGAAUACCUACAAGUGCCGAGCAUGGGAGACACACGGCGGGUGCUAACGUCCGUCGUGAAAAGGGAAACAACCCAGACCGUCAGCUAAGGUCCCAAAGUCAUGGUUAAGUGGGAAACGAUGUGGGAAGGCUUAGACAGCUAGGAGGUUGGCUUAGAAGCAGCCACCCUUUAAAGAAAGCGUAAUAGCUCACUAGUCGAGUCGGCCUGCGCGGAAGAUGUAACGGGGCUCAAACCAUGCACCGAAGCUACGGGUAUCAUCUUUUGAUGAUGCGGUAGAGGAGCGUUCUGUAAGCCUGUGAAGGUGAGUUGAGAAGCUUGCUGGAGGUAUCAGAAGUGCGAAUGCUGACAUGAGUAACGACAAUGGGUGUGAAAAACACCCACGCCGAAAGACCAAGGUUUCCUGCGCAACGUUAAUCGACGCAGGGUUAGUCGGUCCCUAAGGCGAGGCUGAAAAGCGUAGUCGAUGGAAAACAGGUUAAUAUUCCUGUACUUCUGGUUAUUGCGAUGGAGGGACGGAGAAGGCUAGGCCAGCCUGGCGUUGGUUGUCCAGGUUUAAGGUGGUAGGCUGAGAUCUUAGGUAAAUCCGGGAUCUUAAGGCCGAGAGCUGAUGACGAGUGUUCUUUUAGAACACGAAGUGGUUGAUGCCAUGCUUCCAAGAAAAGCUUCUAAGCUUCAGGUAACCAGGAACCGUACCCCAAACCGACACAGGUGGUUGGGUAGAGAAUACCAAGGCGCUUGAGAGAACUCGGGUGAAGGAACUAGGCAAAAUGGCACCGUAACUUCGGGAGAAGGUGCGCCGGUGAGGGUUAAGCAUUUACUGCGUAAGCCCAUGCCGGUCGAAGAUACCAGGCCGCUGCGACUGUUUAUUAAAAACACAGCACUCUGCAAACACGAAAGUGGACGUAUAGGGUGUGACGCCUGCCCGGUGCCGGAAGGUUAAUUGAUGGGGUUAGCGCAAGCGAAGCUCUUGAUCGAAGCCCCGGUAAACGGCGGCCGUAACUAUAACGGUCCUAAGGUAGCGAAAUUCCUUGUCGGGUAAGUUCCGACCUGCACGAAUGGCGUAACGAUGGCGGCGCUGUCUCCACCCGAGACUCAGUGAAAUUGAAAUCGCUGUGAAGAUGCAGUGUAUCCGCGGCUAGACGGAAAGACCCCGUGAACCUUUACUAUAGCUUUGCACUGGACUUUGAAUUUGCUUGUGUAGGAUAGGUGGGAGGCUUUGAAGCGUGGACGCCAGUCUGCGUGGAGCCAACCUUGAAAUACCACCCUGGCAACUUUGAGGUUCUAACUCAGGUCCGUUAUCCGGAUCGAGGACAGUGUAUGGUGGGUAGUUUGACUGGGGCGGUCUCCUCCUAAAGAGUAACGGAGGAGUACGAAGGUGCGCUCAGACCGGUCGGAAAUCGGUCGUAGAGUAUAAAGGCAAAAGCGCGCUUGACUGCGAGACAGACACGUCGAGCAGGUACGAAAGUAGGUCUUAGUGAUCCGGUGGUUCUGUAUGGAAGGGCCAUCGCUCAACGGAUAAAAGGUACUCCGGGGAUAACAGGCUGAUACCGCCCAAGAGUUCAUAUCGACGGCGGUGUUUGGCACCUCGAUGUCGGCUCAUCACAUCCUGGGGCUGAAGCCGGUCCCAAGGGUAUGGCUGUUCGCCAUUUAAAGUGGUACGCGAGCUGGGUUUAGAACGUCGUGAGACAGUUCGGUCCCUAUCUGCCGUGGACGUUUGAGAUUUGAGAGGGGCUGCUCCUAGUACGAGAGGACCGGAGUGGACGAACCUCUGGUGUUCCGGUUGUCACGCCAGUGGCAUUGCCGGGUAGCUAUGUUCGGAAAAGAUAACCGCUGAAAGCAUCUAAGCGGGAAACUUGCCUCAAGAUGAGAUCUCACUGGAACCUUGAGUUCCCUAAAGGGCCGUCGAAGACUACGACGUUGAUAGGUUGGGUGUGUAAGCGCUGUGAGGCGUUGAGCUAACCAAUACUAAUUGCCCGUGAGGCUUGACCAUA
rnacentral:rRNA from 1 species